CUAACCCCAUGCAUGCAUGUACCCCCUAAUAAUCUAUUUCUCCCACUACAUGGUUCUAGCUCUGGAGGACAACUGGCGGAAUUUCUAUAUAGAGAAAAAACUCCAUAUUACAUCUGACAGUAGAGGGACUGCUGGUGACAUCUACGUAUAUUGGUUGUGGUGGUCUGAUAAUUAAUUCUAAAUAAUAAUUAUAAGCUUUUAUAUAAUAAUAAUUUUUAUUAUUAUACAGUUCAAGCCUUGUGUAUUGUAAUUCCAUGUAUGAGGUAGUACUACGUAUGUGUCCUAACCCUACCCUUCACACUACAUGGUUCUGGCUCCGGGGGACCUACUGCACUGGAGGGAGUAUCCACCACGUCACAUACUGAAGUCAAGCAUAUCUACUGAUGUACAUCACCAAAUCCCACAAACACUGAUGGAAUAAGCAACAAUGUCCUCCUCCUCAACCACGACUAGCUGCUGCAAUGAACCAUCAUACAUAACUCAUCACAAUCAUACUUUUGGGGCGCCCCAUCAUUUUUCAUUUCCUUUUCGUUUGUCAUACUGUAAAUGAAAAAUGAACUCGAUCUACUGGUUCUCUGGAGGGGGAGUGGUCAGACCACACCCUACUACAACUGUGGCCACACCCACAUGAUGGCCACACCCUCAUGUUAGGCAACAGCAACUCCUACAUGAGAAUCUCCAUUGGAUAGCAAAUUCUAACCACCUGGAUGUAACUAAUUAGUCUCGUGGCCAGACUACCUUCUAAUAACCUGGACUGGGACAGCCUCUAGAUAUCCCAGAUGGUCCCAUGGGCGGAUGGGCGGGGGGCCAGCGAUGCAGUGCUACAUACUCGCGACGGUGCUGGCUGUCACACUGCAUGGAGGGAGGACUCUCUCUCUGUCUCUGGUGUGCAAGAGCACUGCAAACUGAACAAUAAUUAUGAUAAUGAACAUACAAACAUUAUUGAACAUUAAUUUUUACAAUGG